rnacentral:rRNA from 1 species
AGCGAACGUUGGCGGCAGGCUUAACACAUGCAAGUCGAGCGCCCCGCAAGGGGAGCGGCAGACGGGUGAGUAACACGUGGGAACGUGCCUUUUGGUUCGGAACAACCCAGGGAAACUUGGGCUAAUACCGGAUAAGCCCUUACGGGGAAAGAUUUAUCGCCAAAAGAUCGGCCCGCGUCUGAUUAGCUAGUUGGUGGGGUAAUGGCCCACCAAGGCUACGAUCAGUAGCUGGUCUGAGGGGAUGAUCAGCCACAUUGGGACUGAGACACGGCUCAAACUCCUACGGGGGGCAGCAGUGGGGAAUAUUGGACAAUGGGGGCAACCCUGAUCCAGCCAUGCCGGGUGAGUGAUGAAGGCCUUAGGGUUGUAAAGCUCUUUUAGCAGGGAAGAUAAUGACGGUACCUGCAGAAAAAGCCCCGGCUAACUUCGUGCCAGCCGCCGCCGUAA